AGUGAACGCUGGCGGCAGGCCUAAUACAUGCAAGUCGAACGGCAGCACAGCAGAGCUUGCUCUGUGGGUGGCGAGUGGCGGACGGGUGAGGAAUACAUGGGAAUCUGCCCAGUCGUGGGGGAUAACGUAUGGAAACGUACGCUAAUACCGCAUGCGCCCUACGGGGGAAAGCCGGGGACCGCAAGGCCUGGCGCGAUUGGAUGAGCCCAUGUUCGAUUAGCUAGUUGGCGGGGUAAAGGCCCACCAAGGCGACGAUCGAUAGCUGGUCUGAGAGGAUGAUCAGCCACACUGGAACUGAGACACGGUCCAGACUCCUACGGGAGGCAGCAGUAGGGAAUAUUGGACAAUGGGGGCGAACCCUGAUCCAGCCAUGCCGCGUGAGUGAAGAAGGCCCUCGGGUUGUAAAGCUCUUUUGUCCGGAAGAAAGCAAUCGGUUAAUACCCGGUUGUUCUGACGGUACCGGAAGAAUAAGCACCGGCUAACUUCGUGCC
rnacentral:rRNA from 1 species